rnacentral:rRNA from 1 species
UGGGGAAUUUUGGACAAUGGGGGAAACCCUGAUCCAGCCAUCCCGCGUGUGCGAUGAAGGCCUUCGGGUUGUAAAGCACUUUUGGCAGGAAAGAAACGUCGCGGGUUAAUACCCCGCGAAACUGACGGUACCUGCAGAAUAAGCACCGGCUAACUACGUGCCAGCAGCCGCGGUAAUACGUAGGGUGCAAGCGUUAAUCGGAAUUACUGGGCGUAAAGCGUGCGCAGGCGGUUCGGAAAGAAAGAUGUGAAAUCCCAGAGCUUAACUUUGGAACUGCAUUUUUAACUACCGGGCUAGAGUGUGUCAGAGGGAGGUGGAAUUCCGCGUGUAGCAGUGAAAUGCGUAGAUAUGCGGAGGAACACCGAUGGCGAAGGCAGCCUCCUGGGAUAACACUGACGCUCAUGCACGAAAGCGUGGGGAGCAAACAGGAUUAGAUACCCUGGUAGUCCACGCCCUAAACGAUGUCAACUAGCUGUUGGGGCCUUCGGGCCUUGGUAGCGCAGCUAACGCGUGAAGUUGACCGCCUGGGGAGUACGGUCGCAAGAUUAAAACUUAAAGGAAUUGACGGGGGUCAUAGCUGUUUCCU